rnacentral:lncRNA from 1 species
GGUUAACUCAUUUCCAUGGGUCCAGACUAGUAUUCUUCAAAUAAAGCAGGGUCUGUGUAACUUUCUUAGACAAUUCUUGGACUUAUUUAUUUAGAGAGCAGGGGUAGGGGCAGAGGGCAAGGGACAGAGAGAAUCUUAAGCAGGCUCCGUACCCAGCACAGAGCUCUAUGCGGGGCUUGAUCUCAUGACCCUGAAAUCAUGACCUGAACUGAAAUAGAGCCGAAUGCUUAACCAACUAAGCCACUCAGGUGCCCCUUUUUCGUGUUUGAGAACUACCUGAGAAGUUGUGUUGAAAGAAUAACACAUAGAUGUGGCAGGAUGGUAUUUUGAAAAUUAUGUUUUCCUCUUUUCCCAUUCAUUCUUUCUUAUUACCCUAUCCCUUCCCUGACACUCACCCUUUAGGCUCCUAAUUCUUUUGCCUUUAUUGCCUCGAGAAAAGAAUGAAAGAAAACACAAACUCUUGAUUUUUGUUUGUUUGUUUUUAGUUAGAAAAAUAGACUUUGAAACUACAAGUAAGAAAGAGUUUAAGAGAAGUCUGGAAAAAAAAAGGGAAGAGUCUGUUGAAGGAACGAUGGCUCCAUAUUUGCUAAUUCCAUGUUGGCAGAGACUAUAGAAGAUCGAUCCUGCAUGUGAAAAUUCAGAAUCAGCUUCUUUCUGAGCACAACACAUGAAGUUUUCCUACCUUACCCUUUAGUUCUUAGUGUCAGUUUAAGUUUUUCUUAAAUGUGAUAGCUGUGCAAUCAUAUCCCACAUUUUUCAGUUUAAAAAAUCAAGUCUUUCAUUGAGUGCAAACAUGGCUUUUGCAUGGGUAGAGGCAUAAUAGGAGCGCACAGACUUAAAAGAAAGCCAUUCUGGUUUCAGGGGUUCAAAUAUCUUCCCAAUUUUGUAGAUUUUGUAACACUUAUGAAAUAAAUAAUGUGGCAAUAUCUAC